AAGAUUUUGAAACUAUCAAUAUAACGAAAAACAGUACCGGACUACCGGGAGACCAAAAUGAUAAAGUUAUGAUUAUUUAUGGUGACAUUAUUUUAUAUCAACCCAACUUUAGUUUAUACUUAAUCGGUCUUAGAAAUAUAUUAUUAACUGCAUCUUCGAGCACUAAAGUUUCUUUGUUUUUUUCUACAAUCAAUU